CACACUACUAACCUUAUUCCUAAUCCUAACCUUAAAUUAAGUCCAAAAGCAAAUAUUUUUUUAAAACAUUUUAAGGAUAUCUCUGGUUUGACGUGUACGACAGACAGUGUGUUCAUGUUCCUGCCAAUAUCCAAAACUUCGUACAGCCAUUGAAGAGGAGUGGGACAGUAUUCCACCGGCCACAAUCAACAACCUGAUCAACUCUAUGUGAAAGAAAUGUGUCGCGCUGCAUGAGGUGCCUUGGGCCGGAUAAGGGCCAGAGGGGGGACAGAGAGAGCGAGCCAGUCAGAAGUCUUCCUCCUGGGCUGUGAGGAUGCCAUUGGGGCUAAAGCCGUGAGCUCACAGGUGCAUGGUGAGAUGUUUCUGCCCUGCUGCCUGCUCGCCAGUUGGCCCACUGCCCACCAACCACUAUGACGAUGGAUCUGUUCCUGCUCCUAAGCAGGCCCCUUACCCACCAACUCCCAUCAACCGCUAUACCAGAGGACAUUCUGGAACCGACGGACUCAGAGGAAGCUGCGUGCUUGAAUGGUGAAGCCACAACAUCAGAGCCCGGCCCUCCCCCCAGACACCCAGGGUCAAUUGAUAAAAAUCAAUGCUCCUGCAACACCUGAGCCCUGCACAGAGGUGCAAAGGGUGCCUUCACGGGAAGAUGAGGCAGCAUCCAGUGGAGCAGACAGGGCAGCCAUGGACGCUGAGAUGGCCCAGACCAUCUCAUUUAGCAACAGCUUCAUAGCUGUAUUUGGACAGCUUAUCCAGGAUAUAAAAGGACGUCAGACACCAACAGCAGUCAUGUUAUAAGUUUAGUCCAAUUUAGUCUAGUGACGAUGUAUGCUGAGAGUUAGGAAUCAAGUUCAGGGAGUGAAUGCAUUUAAUAAAUAAAAGAAACAAUGAACACGAAACACAAACAACACACUGACAUGAAACAGGAACAAUGACGACUGGGGAAGAAACCAAAGGGAGUGAC